ensembl:lncRNA
AUGGGAGCACUUCACUCUAGAUGUCAAGAAAAGACGGGUGACUGCAAAAUAUGCAAAAACCAUCUAGCAUGGCACGGAAGCACGACAUCCCUAAGUGAACAUUUGAGACGAAAACAUGUGGGGGCUGCUGCAGCAGAGGAAAGUCCGAAAAAAACAAGCAACGAUGGACAACUACAUGAGGAACAAGACACUCACCCCCCAGCAAUGCAUACCACUUACAAACUCUAUUCUAGAUUCUACAUUAUUUUUAUGGAAUUUACCUCUUAUAUUUUGAUGCCAAAAAAUUAUUCUGGACUGAUAUUUUGCACUGUUUAGCUCAUUUUACACCACUGAAUGUGUUCAUGUGCAAUAAAAUAGAUUGCAGUCAACUGCACAAUUCUCUUAUGUUUUUCUUUUUCUUAACUGAAAUGUAUUCAUCACUUGUAUAGGUUAAAUAGCUAAACAAUAACAAACCGAUUAAUCGAUUAAUCGAAAAAAAUAAUCAACGGAUUAAUCGAUUAUGAAAAUAAUCGUUAGUUGCAGCCCUAGUGAGAAUACACAACUUCUCAUGUCCAGUGCUCGACAAAAGCAAUAAAAUUGGUUUUAGUGUUUAUCGUCUUGUCUUUAUGUGAUUUUUAACUAAAAUGAAGAAGAAAUAUAUAUGUUACAUAAUGUUUUUCAUUUGGAAGUAGAAUUGUUCACGAAGAGGAAAUUCAUACAUCAAAUGUGGGGAAAAACAAUAGCAAAAUUAUGAAUACUGGGUCAAAAAUGAAAACAAAUGCCAUUGGUGCAUUUUGUUCUCUGGGUACAGUUUAGUCUGAAUCCACUCAGACCGUUAUGGAAUGAGCAUGCAUUGGUUUGGUUUAUCACUAUAAGAUAGGAGCAAACACCCAAUGAUGUCCACACUUUUUUCACAUAGCGCACAGCGAUGUCCUUACACAUUUUUAUGCCGAUCAAAUGAGGAUGUAGAAUUCCCAACAUGGCAGGGUCCAGGAUGAAGCCUGAAUGAUGAUGCCACUGAUAUCCGUCUUGCUUUUAGAAUGUUAUUCAAAGAGUCACGGGCAUUGUAUUUUCUGUGUGUUUUUCCUGUUUUUGCGGAAUAAAUCAAGUUAAUUAAACCUUCUGAAUCGUGGUCAUUUUUAGAGUGUAUCAAUGACAAAGUUAGAGGGGUGAGUCAAGCCCUCCCCUGGGAGAAAGAGACGGGUACGAGAUUCACCAGCUGGAGGUGAUCUUGACAUUUUUACGGACCUAAGUCGUUUAUCAAGCCUGUGUUUUUUUUUUUUUACAAAGAUCAGCCUAAGUAAAAUAACAAGUUGUUUGGGUCAAAUCUUGAGGACGUUGAAGAUUUCCUACAUUACUGCUGAAUCCUGCAUAAUCUGUAAAAGCUCAAGGUGUGUGUUGGAAAGGAUUCUCAGCUGCUACCACAUCAAACUGUGGCUCUGCAUCUGUAAAAUUAUCUAAGUUAUGUUUGUUUUUGUGUUUGCUGGUGUCAGUCAUGUGUAGCAGCCAUCUUGAAUGGCAAAACCAACAUGGCCAGCUGUUACAAAAUACAGCUCAAAAAGGUUAGAUAAUGGUGCAAAUGUUCAUUUAUGUUGGUAAUUCAACUUAAAAGGGGAAACUAAUACAUGUGAUAGACUCACUACAUGCAAAGCCAGAUAUUUCAAGCUUUUACUUGCUAUAAUUGUGAAGAUUAAGGCUUUCAGCCUAAUCUCAAUUAGAAUAUUGUGAAAAGGUUAAAUAAUCCAGGCUCAAAGUGUCACGCUCUAAUCAGCUAAUGAAUCCAAAACACCUGCAAAGGGUUCUUGAGCCUUUUGAUGGUCUCUCAGUCUUAGUUGGAUUACUGAAAAAAAAACUUUUCACCAUAUUCUCAUUUUAUGAGUUUCACAUGUAUACAUAAUUUUUACAAAAGCUUAAGAAACAUGCAUAAUUUUUCAGCCAAACCAAACAAAUGUCCCAAUAAUCAGGUUUCGGUACUCCUGAUUGUAUCUUACCAUCCUCUCCUGGAGCCUCGCUGUCAAAGCCAUGAACACAGUUGGGAAUAGCCUCUCAGGAGCAAUACCACUAGCCAUUAUCCCUCAACCGUCUUAUCAUUUUCCAGCAGCUAUUCUGUGGAAUACACGCCUCCUGGGAGGAAAAUGGACUCAUGCAGGCAGGCAACUUAUUAUCAAGUAAAAUCACUGCCACCCGAUAGGUGAGCUCAACGUGGCAAAAUGGAGUCUGCAGAAAGCAUCUGUCUUGCUGAAGAGACAUUGAAUAUGAGCUGCUGUGCUUUGUAGGGUGUGUGGGUGAGACCAGUGUGAAGUGAGGUAAUCCCUCCUAAUGAAUCCAUCACCUCAUGCUAAAAGGUACACGUGCAGCAGGAGAUAAAUGUCCAAAAAAACAAGCAUGGAUCAGUAGUAAAAUUAAUAAAGUUAAUGAAUCAUCAGGGCGUGGCUCCACCACAUGUAUUCAAAGACUGUCCUAAUUCAGGUGUAGUAUGUUUGUAAUGACCUGGCCUACCCAUCUGAAGAGUUGUGACAAAAAAAUGAAGACUAUUUUAAACUAAAAAGGGACAAGUGGUAAUCAAAAGCAUGAAACUUAUCAACUACCUAGUUCCCAAGAAGAUCGCGGUCACUGUCUUGUUGUGACACAAAGAAAUCUGGGGAAAUCAACUCGGACCUGAACCUCGUGUGUGAUUGGCAGUCUUGGCUUUUUAAAGGAGUGCCACUCCCUAGCUGUCAUCAUGGCAACUCGAAACAGCUGCACCAGCUGCAUCCAGAGAGGAGGAGAGGCGGUAGUGCAUCCUCAGUCUGCUGCUGUCCGUGGUGCUGAUUUACACAGGAGCAGGUGCUGUUCGUAGUGCUGCACAGAGAGAGGCAAAGUGUAGCAGACACAGGCGCUGUCCCUGGUGCUGAACCCCUGGUCUGGGGUGGACAGGUGGUGUAACAUUGCAAUUAUUGACCUUUCUCAUCCUAAGAACCCACCAAGACCACUCCUGUUCUUGCCUUUUCUAAAUCUUGUAGUGGGGUUUUUACUCAUUAUAAAAGGGGCUUUAGGGUAGUUUUUUCUGUUUGUGGUGUAUUUGAUUAUGUGAAAUCUAACUAUGGAGAAAUCUUAAACCUUUCCAUAUUUAGUGACAAAAACCUAUAAAAUCUUUGAGUAACUCAAUGGUUUGCCAAAAUCCCUUUUUAUAGCCUGUCGACCCUACACAGGUUUAGAGCGUCAAAGAUAAAAUGACCCCAUUCAGAGUUUCCUCUUGUGGGUCUUACAGAAAACCUAAAAGUGAGUUUUAAGUAAAAUUAAUAACAGCAGCAGCCAGAAUCUUCACCAGAAGGUAAAUAACCAGGAAAACACCAAUGGUCCUCUGUUAUGCCCGCUUUAAUCCCCAUCAAAGCCAGCUUUCGCGUGUCAGAGUUUAUCCUGUACAAGGGAGAUUUAGUUGUCACAAAUAACAACAAUUUAAUUUGGCUUAGCACUAAUUGUGGUUCACUGAUGUGUAACAGUUUUGACUGACUCUUGGUGGGAGACUAAUUGGGAGCUUCUGGAGUUAUGAGAAGGAUUACCAGUGGCCUUUGUCACCCUGUGUGUUCAAACAUAUGAUUUUAUGAUUUGUACCAAAUUGAUGGAUGCAUGUACUUACUGUAUUAUACCUUCUUCUUGUUUCUAUUGUAUUAUGCUGCUGAGAGACCGCUGCUCGUCAACCACAUUUCAUUGCAAUGUUGACCCUGUGCUAACUUGCACAUGACAAAUAAAAACUAAACUACUUGAGUUGACACAUUCAUCCAUCUACACACAGCCUGUAAACAUGUUCAAACAAGGAUUUUUUUAACAAAAGUAGGCAAAAGGUCAAAUUUGAACAUCCAAGAUGUAAGCUAACAGUUUUUUCUUUCAGGGUAAAAUGUGUAAAAUUUAAAGAGCAAGUCACCCCCAAAUAAACAUUUUUUUUGCUGAUAAACUAAAUAAACGAGUGUCUAAUCGUGCUGUAGACACGUGUCGUCAAUAAUUUGGCACUUCAGUGCAUCUUAGUUAAAAUUUAAAUGUUCUGCCUAAAACUGGCAGUGUUGUGCCGUUGUCAGGUAAAAACUCUGCACUGUAUUUUAAUUUAAAUCUGUCACCGCUAUUGGCUAAGAGGUAUGCUAUGAUGUAAACUGGUACAUUAUGAUGUCACAAUGCUGUCGUGAGCCUGAGUGUGUGUGUAUUUGUUAGCAGCUCCGCCCUCUCGGUCUGCCAGGCAACAGCAUUUGUUGCAUUUUUCAAACAUGAAGUGGGAGUGGAGUUAGACUCUGGUAGGGGGUGACUUGCUCUUUAAAUCAACCGUUUAACAGAUCAAGAUAGUUUUGAUCGUUUCUUCUUUUUUGGGUGAUAAUCAAAACACUGAAAUCUGACUUCAUCAACAUUUACGCUAUCCUGAUAUUGAAGCUAGUUUAAA